AUGCUACUUCCUUCGUUCCAAAUUUUUUGUCUUAAAUUUGUCUAAAUACGAUGUAUCUAAUAUUAAAGCGUGAUUUAAUACAUCCGUAUUUAGACAUAUUUAAAACAAGAAUUUUGGGACGGAUGGAGUAUAUG
rfam:Triticum aestivum genome assembly, contig: Triticum_aestivum_CS42_TGACv1_scaffold_080334_1DS